GCGGGAAUAGCUCAGUUGGUAGAGCGCUAGCCUUCCAAGCUGGAUGUCGCGAGUUCGAGUCUCGUUUCCCGCUCCA
rnacentral:tRNA from 1 species